rnacentral:tRNA from 1 species
ACAGAGCCUUAGUAGUAUAACGAAUACACUGGUC